rnacentral:rRNA from 1 species
ACCUACGGGGGGCAGCAGUGAUUAAUCUUUGUCAAUUUUCUUCAGCCUGAACCAGCCAAGUCGCGUGAGGGAAUAAGGCCCUACGGGUCGUAAACCUCUUUUGCCGGGGAGCAAGGGCGGGGACGUGUCCCGGCCCGGAGAGUACCCGGAGAAAAAGCAUCGGCUAACUCCGUGCCAGCAGCCGCGGUAAUACGGAGGAUGCAAGCGUUAUCCGGAUUUAUUGGGUUUAAAGGGUGCGUAGGCGGGCUUUUAAGUCAGCGGUAAAAAUUCGGGGCACAACCCCGUCCGGCCGUUGAAAC